rnacentral:tRNA from 1 species
GAGGGUACAGCUCAAGUGGUAGAGCUCAUGCUUAGCAUGCAUGAGGUCCUGGGUUUAAUCCCCAGUACCUCCU